CUUACAUGCAGUCGACGAUGAUCCCUGGCUUGCUGGGGGAUUAGUGGCGAACGGGUGAGUAACACGUGAGUAACCUGCCCUUGACUCUGGGAUAAGCCUGGGAAACUGGGUCUAAUACCGGAUACGACCAUCUGGCGCAUGUCAUGGUGGUGGAAAGCUUUUGUGGUUUUGGAUGGACUCGCGGCCUAUCAGCUUGUUGGUGGGGUAAUGGCCUACCAAGGCGACGACGGGUAGCCGGCCUGAGAGGGUGACCGGCCACACUGGGACUGAGACACGGCCCAGACUCCUACGGGAGGCAGCAGUGGGGAAUAUUGCACAAUGGGCGCAAGCCUGAUGCAGCGACGCCGCGUGAGGGAUGACGGCCUUCGGGUUGUAAACCUCUUUCAGUAGGGAAGAAGCGAAAAGUUGACGGUACCUGCAGAAGAAGCGCCGGCUAACUACGUGCCAGCAGCCGCGGUAAUACGUAGGGCGCAAGCGUUAUCCGGAAUUAUUGGGCGUAAAGAGCUCGUAGGCGGUUUGUCGCGUCUGCUGUGAAAGACCGGGGCUCAACUCCGGUUCUGCAGUGGGUACGGGCAGACUAGAGUGCAGUAGGGGAGACUGGAAUUCCUGGUGUAGCGGUGAAAUGCGCAGAUAUCAGGAGGAACACCGAUGGCGAAGGCAGGUCUCUGGGCUGUAACUGACGCUGAGGAGCGAAAGCAUGGGGAGCGAACAGGAUUAGAUACCCUGGUAGUCCAUGCCGUAAACGUUGGGCACUAGGUGUGGGGGACAUUCCACGUUUUCCGCGCCGUAGCUAACGCAUUAAGUGCCCCGCCUGGGGAGUACGGCCGCAAGGCUAAAACUCAAAGGAAUUGACGGGGGCCCGCACAAGCGGCGGAGCAUGCGGAUUAAUUCGAUGCAACGCGAAGAACCUUACCAAGGCUUGACAUGAACCGGAAAGACCUGGAAACAGGUGCCCCGCUUGCGGUCGGUUUACAGGUGGUGCAUGGUUGUCGUCAGCUCGUGUCGUGAGAUGUUGGGUUAAGUCCCGCAACGAGCGCAACCCUCGUUCUAUGUUGCCAGCGCGUUAUGGCGGGGACUCAUAGGAGACUGCCGGGGUCAACUCGGAGGAAGGUGGGGACGACGUCAAAUCAUCAUGCCCCUUAUGUCUUGGGCUUCACGCAUGCUACAAUGGCCGGUACAAAGGGUUGCGAUACUGUGAGGUGGAGCUAAUCCCAAAAAGCCGGUCUCAGUUCGGAUUGGGGUCUGCAACUCGACCCCAUGAAGUCGGAGUCGCUAGUAAUCGCAGAUCAGCAACG
rnacentral:rRNA from 1 species